rnacentral:rRNA from 1 species
UACGUAGGUCCCGAGCGUUGUCCGGAUUUAUUGGGCGUAAAGCGAGCGCAGGUGGUUUAUUAAGUCUGGUGUAAAAGGCAGUGGCUCAACCAUUGUAUGCAUUGGAAACUGGUAGACUUGAGUGCAGGAGAGGAGAGUGGAAUUCCAUGCUUAGCGGUGAAAUGCGUAGAUAUAUGGAGGAACACCGGUGGCGAAAGCGGCUCUCUGGCCUGUAACUGACACUGAGGCGCGAAAGCGUGGGGAGCAAACAGG